rnacentral:sRNA from 1 species
GCUAGGUGUGGUGGUGCACACCUGUAAUCCCAGUGGCUCAGGAGGCUAAGACAGGAGAAUGACAAGUUCAAAGCCAGCCUCAGCAAUCUAGCGAGGCCCUAAGCAACUCAGCAAGAUCUUGUCUCUA